GGGAUUUUUUGGGGUUUUUUUGGGUUUUUUGGGGGAUUUUUUUUGGUUUUUUGGGGUUUUUUUGGGUUUUUUUGAGUUUUUUUGGGUAUUUCGGGGGGUUUUUGAGGUUUUUUGGGGUUUUCAACCCCAAAUUUCGCCGCCCUGACCCCGAUUUUGGCCCCCCCAGGUCGGACUGCGAGCGCCCCGGCCCCGAGCUCUGCUCCUUCCCCUCGGCCAACGUCUCCCUGCUGGGGGAGCACCGCGAGAAGCUGUUGCUCUACGGUCAGCUGUACCGGAUCCCUCUGGGAAUUUGGGAAUUUGGGAUU
rnacentral:lncRNA from 1 species